rnacentral:rRNA from 1 species
GACGAAUGCUGGCGGCGUGCUUAACACAUGCAAGUCGAACGCUGAAGCACCAGCUUGCUGGUGUGGAUGAGUGGCGAACGGGUGAGUAAUACGUGAGUAACCUGCCCUUGACUCUGGGAUAAGCCCGGGAAACUGGGUCUAAUACUGGAUGCUACAUGUCACCGCAUGGUGGUGUGUGGAAAGGGUUUACUGGUCUUGGAUGGGCUCACGGCCUAUCAGCUUGUUGGUGAGGUAAUGGCUCACCAAGGCGACGACGGGUAGCCGGCCUGAGAGGGUGACCGGCCACACUGGGACUGAGACACGGCCCAGACUCCUACGGGAGGCAGCAGUGGGGAAUAUUGCACAAUGGGCGAAAGCCUGAUGCAGCGGCGCCGCGUGAGGGAUGACGGCCUUCGGGUUGUAAACCUCUUUCAGCAGGGAAGAAGCCACAAGUGACGGUACCUGCAGAAGAAGCGCCGGCUAACUACGUG